CAGAGGGUGCGAGCGUUAAUCGGAAUUACUGGGCGUAAAGCGCGCGUAGGCGGCUUUUCAAGUCGAUUGUGAAAUCCCCGGGCUUAACCUGGGAACUGCAGUCGAGACUGUCUAGCUAGAGUAUGGGAGAGGGAAGUGGAAUUUCAGGUGUAGCGGUGAAAUGCGUAGAUAUCUGAAGGAACAUCAGUGGCGAAAGCGACUUCCUGGACCAAUACUGACGCUCAUGUGCGAAAGCGUGGGGAGCAAACAGGAUUAGAUACCCUGGUAGUCCACGCCAUAAACGAUGAGAACUGGAUGUCGGGAGGGUCUGCCUCUCGGUGUCGUAGCUAACGCGUUAAGUUCUCCGCCUGGGGAGUACGGCCGCAAGGUUG
rnacentral:rRNA from 1 species